UCAACAAAUAUUAACAGAUCGAAACUAUAAUAAUAAACAUCAAAAACCCUGAUCUGGAAAUGAAUGGCAAGAGCGUUAUUGAUGUUAAACCACCUCCUCCUUCGGUCCACUAAAACCCCAUUAAACCCUAAUAACAAUAAUUAUUAUUUCACAAAAUCCCAUUUACAUUCUUCAAAUUCUCAAAAUCCAUUUUUCUCAAUAAAAGAUAAAAUCUUAAACCUAAUACAAAUAUGUCAAAACCCAAGUCAAUUUCACCAGAUCCACACUCACUUUAUCACUUCAGGAUUCUUUCAAAAUCCAUCAUUGGCUGGCAGACUAUUGAAACUUUCUUUGAAUUUUUGUCAUUUUAAUUAUACACUUUUUAUAUUUAAAUGUAUUCAUUUUCCUGAUACUUUUUGUGUAAAUACUGUUAUUAAAGGUUAUGGUAAUGGGAAUGAGGCUGUUAGGUUUUAUUAUGAAAUGCUUGGAAAUGAUGGGGUUUUGUUUAAGCCGAAUUGUUUUACGUUUUCGUGUUUGAUUAGUUCGUGUACGAAAACGGGGGGUUUGGGGUUAGGGAAAGAGUGUCAUGGCCAAGCUGUGAAGUUUGGUGUUGAUAGGAGUUUGUUUGUUGAGAAUGCUUUGAUUCAUAUGUAUGGUUGUUUUGGCGAAAAUGAAGUUGCGUGGAAGGUGUUUGAUGAAAUGUCUGUGAGAGAUUUAGUGUCGUGGAACUCGAUGGUUGAUGGGUAUGUUAAGGUUGGUGAGAUGGGGUUUGCGCAUAACUUGUUUGAUGAAAUGCCGGAGAGAAAUGUGGUGUCGUGGAAUGCUUUGAUGAAGGGUUAUUUGGAUUGGAAGAAUCCUGGAAUGGUUUUGAAGUUGUUUAGGAAGAUGGUUGAGGAAGGUGUGAGAGGGAAUGAUACGACGGUUGUCAGUGUGGUUACUGCGUGUGGCAGGUCACUUAGGUUGAAAGAAGGAAGGUCUGUUCAUGAUUUUGUUGUUCGGAUGUGGAAGGAUGCGAGUCUGAUUAUUGGUACGGUUUUUAUUGAUAUGUAUAGUAGAUGUGGGAGAUCAGAUAUUGCUCAGGUUAUAUUUGAUGGAAUGUUGGUCAAGAAUUUGGUUUGCUGGAAUACUAUGAUUACGGGGCAUUCUAUACAUGGAAACCCAAAACACGGCCUUCGUUUGUUUCAUAAGAUGUUAAAAGUUGAUUUAAUUCCAGACGAAGUGACUUAUGUAGGUGUAUUAUGUGCCUGUGCACGGUUAGGCUUGUUGCCAGAAGGUAAAAACCACUUUCUUGAAAUGACUAAGGUUUUCAAUCUGAAACCUAAUUUUGCACAUUAUUGGUGUAUGGCUAAUAUUUUUGCUAGCCAUGGUUUAGUCAACGAUGCAGUUGAAUUCUUGAAGACUAUGCCAGUUGACAUAAAUAUGUCACCCCAGUCAUCAUUUUGGGCUGGUUUACUAGGAUCAUGUCGUUUUCAAGGUGACAUGGCCGUAGGAGAGCAAAUUGCAAAAGCUCUGAUUGAGGAAGAUCCAUUGAAUCAUAGGUUUUAUGUGCUGCUUUAUACAAUCUAUGCAGUAGCAGGGCGGUGGGAUGAUGUAACUUGGAUGAAGUGUAUGAUGAAGGAGAGAGGGGUUAGUGUACCAGGAUUUAGUCUUGUAGAGUUGACAGAAAUAGUUAACAGUCUUGAAGUCAGGGAUAAAUGGGAAGAUAGAAUAUCUAGGCUCCAUGAACAUGGAUAAUUUGGGGUUGUUCGCUUCAGAAAGGGAGAGUAAACAGCUGAGAAAGUUGAUUGUUCAGGCACGCUUAUCUUCUAUUUGAAAAACCAGUAGUUCUGUCCAAAGCACAUUUAAUUUAAGGACGCGAAGAGUGUUCUGCAUAAGCGUCAUGUUGAUAGGUGAUGUUUAGCCAUGCAAUGUUUGAAUCCAUCAAGCGAAAGUUCUUGGACUAGGGCACAACAACUGCAACAAAGAUGCAACAAAAAAUCUCCGCAACACCCUCCCUGGGAACAUAACAGACACAAGUUAUACUGCAGAUCAUUACCCUGAUGUUUAAUUUAUUCCGAAGCUUCCUCCUGAUGCAACAAGUAUAGCAACAGCAUGAAACUAUUAGGGAGUAAGCCAUUAUCUCGUUGCAGACAUCUACAGAAGCUGUCACAUACACCAGUUUUCAUUUGAAGCAGAGUAGCUGUGAAUGCUUUGAUGUCAUCCAGAUGAUAAACAGAUCAAAUAAAAAGGUUAUACUGCAAGUCAUACACAUAAUGGGCUCGGAACAACAGCCAAGUAUACCAAAAUGCCAUUCUUCACGCUGAUAGGGUCUUCUAGAGGGAAGCAAAUCUUGUCUGGAUGUAGCUGAAAUGCUUCUGCAAUAACAUAUAAAUCUCUUACUAUAUACUUACGAAAAUUAAUAUCUUCACAAAGAUGCAACUUUUAGAUCAAUAUGUGUCCCUGCAGUAUUUUCCUUUAUACUCUAUCAAUUCUGUUUAAGUAAUACAAACUAUGGAUCACCUUGGAGCUGAAUAGACAACUAUUUGUAGAUCGUUGUUUUCAAGUUCUUGGUUGCUGCUGUCAUACGAAUAGUAAGGCACAGCGUACUCGAAUUGAGGAUUUGAGGCAAAAACUUCAGAAGUGGAAGUGCUUCUGCAAUAACAUAUAAAUUUCUCAUUUUAAACA